CUCUGUCUCGCCUGCGUCACCGGCGCCUCUCGCUAGCUCGUGUCGCCGGUGCCUCUCCCUUGCCCGCGCCGCCGGUGCCUCUCCCUUGCCCGCGUCGCCGGUGCCUCUCCCUCGCCCGUGUUGCCGGCGCCUCUCCAUUGGCUCCAUCGUUGGUGCCAAGAUCUCAUUUUUAUUCUCCGGUGGCUGAUUUCGAGUGCGUCGGCUCGAUCUGCAAUGGCCUUCCUCCACUCCAACGCCGUGCGGAUGAUGCCAUGGAAGGGCCACCAUGACAAGGAGCAGGACGACGCCUUGGAAGGUUCACCGACAGGAGCAACUACGUACGGUCUGGUCUUCUCCACUGACAGGGAUAUCGACAUGGAGGUCCGCCAUGGAAGGCCUGGAGCUCGUCAUGGAGGGUCCCUCCUCUCUCUUCCCCUCCCUCUACUCUGUUGGUUGGUUGGACGGAAGACCAUCGCUCGUCCAGCUCUGCUUCUUCCACCGCUGCUCCCGUCCCACCAUAGUGCCACAGACGCUAUGCCAAGCACGGAAGAUUCGGGGAGCCGCCUCGAUCCAGAGUACUCGCAAUCCAUUAUAGGGCAGUUCAAAGCCUGCCUCUGGAAGCAUUGGUUGACCUAUUGGCACAACCCAGAUUACAACCUUGUCAGAUUUUCCUUCACUUUGUUCACAACCUUGCUGCUUGGCUCCAUCUUUUGGAAGAUUGGCACCAUUAUGGGUGGAUGCCAAUACUCUUAGAAUGGUCAGUGGAGCAAUAUACACAAUAGUGAUGUUUGUCGGCAUCAACAACUAUGCAACCGUUCAACCAAUUGUUUUAAUCGAGAGAAUAGUUUGUACAGAGAGAGGGCUGCUCCAUUGCUCAGAUCAGCAGAGAUGAAUCGGCUUCCACCGGAUCCUUAGCUGGUGUAGCCUCAACUGCUUGCUCAGGACGAUUGCUUAGCAUGACGUGCAGCCUCCCGCGGCAGUAGUUCAACUCCUGCACAAUUACACAAAAGGCAUAGACCGUCAGAACAUAGUCCAAUGGUUUCUAGACCUGGCGUACAUCGGCGCCUCCAUGGCUGCUGAACAGGAUGAAGAGGAGCACUAGAGGACCAUGGCAGCGGUGAGACCCAACCCGUCGCGGCGCCUAGUGAGCAGGCGCACGGACACACCAGUAAAGCAUAGCACAGCGGCGGCCAUGUCCUCCAUCUCGAUGCUUCAGCCGGGCGUCACCAUGUAGUCACACAACGACCUACACUCCAUGAUAACCUCUCGAUUCCGCCGCCCACAAAUCUCACGGCGUCGAGGUGGCCAUGGGAGGGCUCGCCAGAGUGGUUUAGGCGAGGAUCAGGGGGUUGUGGAGAUCUGGGUGGAGGUGGUUUGGAGAGGUUCGGGGGUGAGGGCGGGUCUGGAUAGGAUGGAGACCGUGAAAGGAAACAAAAAACAUAGGUGAUUUCCUCCCUUUUUUCCAUGCGGAAGAGGAGGUGGAGUCAAACGUUUUAUUUGGAAAAAAAUCGGUGGGGGAGGUCGAUCGAUGCGAGGGGUUGCGUGCGAGCGAAAGAACGACGUACGGGCGAGUAGAGAUUGGUGUUAAACCUACUGUAUUCCAACUUCUCUAUGGAUUACAAACUAUUUUACUAGCCAUAGAUUCAUCAAAA